rnacentral:misc_RNA from 1 species
UUUUAUAAUUCUUAUUAACAAAUGACGUCAGAAUAACACAUGUGAAAUAAUUCAUGUAAAGUUAAUUUCUAAAACAAACUACUUUGUCAGUCGUUUCUUUGCAAACGAGGAAAUUAACAUGAAAGUACAAGGUUUUUAUAUACCGUCAAUUUACGACUAUGCGCCUUUAACUUUCUGUUAGAUUUUCCGACAAUAUACUUAGUAAUGGCCAUCUGACGACUUAUUUAAUUUUCGUUUAAAACCAAAAUGGAACGGCGUACAGGUGGAUGGAUACUGUUACUGCUGGUGAUCUGUUUCACAUACAGCCAAGCCCGGUUGUGUUUCAUCUGUGGAUAUAACGCACCGACAGACGGGAAAGUGGGCAUCAAUUGUGUGAACGAUACUUCUAAAGCAAGUGUUCAUACCAAUUGCUCCAACGACCGGGUGUGUACAUUCGAUGUCCAGUUCCUCAAAAGUUCCCUCGAGUUAGUGUCAGUGACCCGGAACUGUCUUCCGUCAUCCGCCCCUCGUUCCAACACGUGCUUAGACGACUGGACACACCGACAGUGUACAUUUUCAUGUAAUACGGACUUGUGUAACAACUUGACGGCCCAGGAGCUCAACAAUCGAUACGGCGACAGGGGAGCGAACUCUGCACAUUCCUCGGUCGAAAUUAUCUCCCUUGUUUCCAGUUCUCUCGUGGUGUGCGCUGUUUGGAUUGUAAAGACACGGAUUAGUCUCUAAUUGGUGUAAGACAUAUUACGGAACCUUGUACAUCCGUAAUCCGGAAAUCAAGAAAGAACGUUGUCUAGAUAUUGAUAUUAGAUACAUUAUACACACUUCGAGGAAAGGGAGACAAACAGAAAAUAUGUUUCUCUUUCCAGUUACUACACAAUAUCCCACGUAAGGUUCUACAAUUAAUAAACUAUUAAUCAUACAUUAUUACAGCUCUUAAUCACCAAGUUAAAACAAUUGUUAGGAUUUGAAUAAUUACUAUUUUCCAAUCAGUUUUAUGUUAAUAAGUUUAAUCUUAUCUUUUUCAAAACAUGGAUUUUUUGAGGUAUCUUAUGUAUGUUAUACAUGUGUCCUACACUGGACAUUCACGUGAGAUUAAUAGCAUAUUUCGCCCCUUUUGGUUUAAUAAAGGGAAUCUCUUAUCAUGGCGAGGUGUAUCCACGUCUACCCUAAUGUGAUGUUCAUUUACUAUUUGUCCUGUUGGGUCGUAGAUAAGGAAUUUAGUACCAAGAAAGAAGAUUCCUAAGUUGUCAAACACGACGCUCGCCAAGUGUUUGGCAACUGCGGUAUCUUAAAAACUAUUAACUCCUUCCCGAAGGUGGAGAUUCUCCCGUUUUAUCCAAAAAGAAUUGGAUUAUUCUUUUUCUCUUAUCCUGUUUGCUCUGUCAUCUGUUCAAUGUUGACAUUGACGUUAAUCAAGCGAAUGUUGUUUGAUCAAUGAUAAUUAUAUGCACUGCAUCCUCUGUCUAUCGUAAACUUUUCUAUAAGGAUUGCCUCCCUCCAUUGAUAUUCAACACAUGUUUCUUAUGCGUGUUUGGAAUGUGUCCUUAAUUCUUUUAUUCUUCUUAUGUUUUGUCAAUCAUUUUGUGUACGUCUAACACGUGUCAUAAAUAUUUGCGCACGGUUGAAAAGCGUUAUAAAUUCUCUUAAACUCCUGAAAUGUGUCAUCAAUACUUGAAUUCCGCUCAAAUUUAUCCUCAGCGUUUGUUUAUUCUGUUAAUGUUCUCAAUUCAAUUAUAACAUCAAUUAAUAGAUUUAGUUUGAAUUACCAAUCUUACAUUAUGUUUUAGUGUGAAUCUCUCAUGGAUAUGAAAUGGAAGUCAGUUCAGACAGCAUAUGCCGUUAAAUAGGUUGUGAUGUGAAGUCACAAAGAGAAAACAUAUAUUCCGUUUGGGCUAGGUUCUUAGUUCUCGGUGCGUUUGACGCUGGAUUCACUUUAACUAUAACAUCUGAACGACUCACGAACACUUAUCUGGUGAAUUGAAUUCUAUAUUAUAAGAUAAGAAAUCGAUAUA